ACCUAGAACCUUCAUAAUUGAGCCCAAAUUGGAGCUAAAGUGACCCAAAAUCUACCUCAGGACCACCAAGGGACCCCCCUGACCCCAUAACUAUCUUGUAGGGGACCCCAAAGCCCCACCCCGUAACCCCAAAUAGCUCCCCAGGCUUCAGAAGCUACCUUGAAGGACCUAGAACCUUCAUAAGUGGACCCAAAUUGCCCCAAAUUAGAGCUAAAGUGACCCAAAAUCCACCCUAGGAACACCAGGUGACCCCCCCCAAUCCCAUAAUUACGUCUCAAGGGACCCCAAAUCCCGAUCCCAUAACCCCAAAUAUCUCCCCAGGCUUCAAAACCCACCUUGAAGGACCUAGAACCUUCAUAAAUGGACCCAAAUUGGAGCUAAAGUGACCCAAAUUGGUGCUAAAGUGACCCAAAAUCUACCCCAAAACCACCAGGUGACCCCCCUGACCCCAUAACUACGUCCCAAAGGACCCCAAAACCCCACCCCGUAACCCCAAAUACCUCCCCGGGCUUCAGAAGCUACCUUGACGGACCUAGAACCUUCAUAACUGGACCCAAAUUGCCCCAAAUUAGAGCUAAAGUGACCCAAAAUCCACCCUAGGAACACCAAGGGACCCCCCCGACCCCAUAAUUACAUCCCAAAGGACCCCAAAACCUGACCCUGUAACCCCAAAUAGCUCCCCGGGCUUCAGAAGCUACCUUGAAGGACCUAGAACCUUCAAAAAUGGACCCAAAUUGGAGCUAAAGUGACCCAAAUUGGUGCUAAAGUGACCCAAAAUCUACCCCAGGAUCAGCAAGGGACCCCCCUGACCCCAUAACUAUCUUGUAGGAGACCCCAAAACCUCACCCUGUAACCCCAAAUAGCUGCCCGGGCUUCAGAAGCUACCUUGACGGACCUAGAACCUUCAUAAAUGGACCCAAAUUGUCCAAAAUUAGAGCUAAAGUGACCCAAAAUCCACACUAGGAACACCAAGGGACCCCCCCGACCCCAUAAUUACAUCCCAAAGGACCCCAAAACCCCACCCCAUAACCCCAAAUAGCUCCCCGGGCUUCAAAACCCACCUUGAAGGACCUAGAACCUUCAUAAAUGGGCCCAAAUUGGAGCUAAAGUGACCCAAAUUGGUGCUAAAGUGACCCAAAAUCUACCUCAGGACCACCAAGAGACUCCCCUGACCCCAUAACUAUCUUGUAGGGGACCCCAAAACCCAACCCCGUAACCCCAAAUAGCUCCCUGGGCUUCAGAAGCUACCUUGACGGACCUAGAACCUUCAUAACUGGAC
rnacentral:lncRNA from 1 species